rnacentral:rRNA from 1 species
UGUGACCUCAAAUCAGGUAGGACUACCCGCUGAACUUAAGCAUAUCAAUAAGCGGAGGAAAAGAAACUAACAAGGAUUCCCCUAGUAACUGCGAGUGAAGCGGGAAAAGCUCAAAUUUAAAAUCUGGCAGUCCUUUAACUGCCCGAGUUGUAAUCUAGAGAAGUGUUAUCUGCGCUGGACC